CCAGCCGUAAACGAUGGGUACUAGGUGUUGUCACUUCAUUGUGGCAGUGCCGGAGUUAACGCAAUAAGUACCCCGCCUGGGGAGUACGGCCGCAAGGCUGAAACUCAAAGGAAUUGACGGGGGCCCGCACAAGCGGUGGAGCAUGUGGUUUAAUUCGAAGCAACGCGUAGAACCUUACCAGGGCUUGACAUCCCUCUGACGGGUAUAGAGAUAUGCCUUCUUUUCGGAGCAGAGGAGACAGGUGG
rnacentral:rRNA from 1 species